CAAGGAAUAGUUUAAUAAAGAAUACCAGCUUUGGGUGUUGGUGAUGGAGCGUUAGUUUCUUCCUUGA
rnacentral:tRNA from 1 species